rnacentral:rRNA from 1 species
UACGUAGGGGGCAAGCGUUGUCCGGAUUCAUUGGGCGUAAAGAGCUCGUAGGCGGUUCGGUAAGUCAGAUGUGAAAACUCCAGGCUCAACUUGGAGAGGCCAUCUGAUACUGCUGUGACUAGAGUCCGGUAGGGGAGCACGGAAUUCCUGGUGUAGCGGUGAAAUGCGCAGAUAUCAGGAGGAACACCAGCGGCGAAGGCGGUGCUCUGGGCCGGAACUGACGCUGAGGAGCGAAAGCGUGGGUAGCGAACAGG